rnacentral:rRNA from 1 species
AUUGAACGCUGGCGGCAUGCCUUACACAUGCAAGUCGAACGGUAACGCGGGGCAACCUGGCGACGAGUGGCGAACGGGUGAGUAAUGCAUCGGAACGUGCCCAGUAGUGGGGGAUAGCCCGGCGAAAGCCGGAUUAAUACCGCAUACGACCUACGGGUGAAAGCGGGGGAUCGCAAGACCUCGCGCUAUUGGAGCGGCCGAUGUCAGAUUAGGUUGUUGGUGGGGUAAAGGCCUACCAAGCCUGCGAUCUGUAGCUGGUCUGAGAGGACGACCAGCCACACUGGGACUGAGACACGGCCCAGACUCCUACGGGAGGCAGCAGUGGGGAAUUUUGGACAAUGGGCGCAAGCCUGAUCCAGCCAUGCCGCGUGCGGGAAGAAGGCCUUCGGGUUGUAAACCGCUUUUGGCAGGAACGAAACGGCGACUCCUAAUACGGGUGGCUAAUGACGGUACCUGCAGAAUAAGCACCGGCUAACUACGUGCCAGCCGCCGCCGUAAAAC